AUCCAGUAUGUAACUCUUCAGACUAGCUUAUUUUAUUUAACAAUGACGUUUAAGAUUCGUCUGUGUUUUCAGUGGUUUGAUAGCAUAUUUCUUUUUAUCAUUAAAUGUUAAUAUUCUACUGAUGAGUGUUCCACUGAAUAAUAAUAUUUCAUUGGACAGUAACUUACAGUAUGUUUAUCCAUUCACCUAUUGAAUAACAUCUCGGUUGCUUCCAGUUUGGGAUCAUUUUGGAUAACGCUGCUCAAUGAAUAAGAGUUCCUGUUGCUCCGCAUCCUCCCCAGCAGUCGGUAUUGUCAGAUUUUUGGAUUUGAGCCACUCUAAUAGAACCUCAGAUGUCUAAUGUGGAACAAGGGGAUCAAAAUAGCCAACAAAAGCCUGGGAUGAAGAUUAAGCAAGGUA